rnacentral:rRNA from 1 species
GCCGAACUAACGGACGGUCACCGAAAGAAAGAAGGAAGGGGACGAGUGUGUGCGUCUACGACGAAAAGGAAGGCAUGGGCCUGUGCGUCCGUUCCGUUUCCGUGGGCGGUGGUUUAUCCUUCCCCUCAAUGAGGUGGUGGUGGUGGUGGUUGGAUCGGAUCGUGUCGUGUCGUGUCGUCACCCUCCCCCUCCGUGGCCCCGUCCCGCCCCGUCCCGUCCCGGCCUCUACCUACCUCUGAACAACGUCGCGUCGGGUAACGUUUCGAGGUUUAAUGUUGUGCCUCGGGUUGGUGGUGAAUAUGCGGUGGCGGUGGUAGCGGUGGUGAAAGGGGAGGGGCUAGAGGAGGGGUUUGGGAUUGGGGGAGGGGACCCUAGGCGGGUACCUCCGCACUGCCAGGCCCCCCUACCUGCGGCACGGCCUCCUGGAGGCGACGUUCGCGAGGCUGCCGUUCGUCACCGCGACGUCGCGGGGAAGGUACGGGCUGUUCUGGCAGACGCUCUUCGUGAUGCAGGUCCGGUUCUUCGCGCGGCGGAGGAGGCGCGAUGCGCGGUGCGAGGCGUCCAGGGGGGGGAGGAUGCGCCGGCGGAGGAUGCGCGUCGGGGCGCUCCCGCUGAGGCUACGGCUGCGACUGGACGGGGACGGUUACCGACAGCGCUCCGGGAAGAUGCCGUCGCAGCAGCCCCUCGGACAGAUGCACCGCCUCGGCCGCCACGCCUCCCCCGACGGGGAGUGGUUACGAUAGCCGAGCGUGUGGCGUCGGCUCGAUCAGCCCUCUCGGAGACAUCCCGACGUUCCGACACGCCUCCACUUCUGCUCAACGGUGGUUACGGCCUCCUCACAGUUACGGCAAACCACAUGGUCGACACUGUCCUCCCCCAUAACGCCGCCGACGUAGAGGUCUACCAUGAGACUGUAACGUUAUCUACUAUAAGUUUUCCAAACAGGUCGUACGGCACCGUAAACAUUGACGUUUCAAACGAAUGUUCCUCUGUUGAAUUAAUUCCGUUCCCACGUCCUCUAUAGACAACAUCUAUUCAACUUUAUAGAAGUAUCGUAAAACCGUAUACAAGAAGGUCACGAUUUCGUCUAAAUGAGGCUGGUUACGAAACUUUAUCCACAACUUUGUUCUCGAAUACCCGGGUUCUACCUGUAGUAAUCCCGUUUCUACUUAAGACUACUCGUUUACACGACACUGAAAACGUUUCACGGUCACAAACUAAUAGUAGCUGUGACAGGUUCUACAAACAUACUGAAUACGGAGCUGACAACAGCUCUGUAAUCCGCGAGAGUCUGUUUACAUCAGUCUCCUCUUAUACGACUUUCAUUUCCAGGACACCACCUCUGUUUAUUUCUAUCACGCUCACUGUCUCGUUCUAACCUUGGUAGACGUCGUUCACAGUUGCUAUUCAACAAGGGUGUCGGCUAUCUACGUUUACUAUAACCGUAGUCUAGAAACAAAGGAUGUACCUCUCAGUUGUUACUACCGUCGUAGUGUACACCCGGAGUACUCCGACCGCCAACACCGAGGAGUUUCGACCAUAAUUCCGCUUAUAAGUUUUAUUUGACCUAACCAUUCGAACAUUUCUCAAGAGUUCUUUACCAAUUACCAACGUUUCGUGUACUAGAACUCUUACCUACGAGUAGGACAUUGCUAUCGUCUUCUAACCUGAGUUAACCAGCGGUAUUGAAACCAGAGAGUUUUACAAGUCUAUCACUACCAUAACUACCCUUGAGACACAUGAGAAGACAUGACCUCUUGAAUUUUAUGCUCCCAUAACAGGUAAAGGCAUUUGUGACCUAUUUACCCCUCGGACAUUAAUAAUCCUUACGUAAACUCGGAAGAAAUAGUAGUUCAACCCUGGGCAAUUCAUAAACCGCUCCUUAGGUCCUCUAGUACCUACUUUUUAACCUACUUUUACGGUAUCAAUUUCGACACCUGACGAGUUUGGUUAGUCUCCACGUAUAGUUCGAGUUGGUUAAAUAGUUUCCAAUAAGUCUACCAGUGUUCCCUCUUCUACCGUUCAAUUACUACGACUUUGACUUUCUAACCGGAGGUCACUCGCAUAAUCUCCUCAAAGACAAUACGGUCGCUGGUCUCAAGUAACAGUUAAAAGGGAAUCAUCUGAAAUAGGUAAGAUUCACCCCGAAAGAAUUGGAACGCCGAUUCAAUGGGGGCCUACGGGAUGUCAGACUUCAUCCGGAUUUCGACGAAUAACGUAUACCUUCCGUCGUUGUUGGACCAUUUUCGCUAAGUCACUGUUUAGACUACCAAUUCUACCCACUACACCAUGUGUACAAUUACGUAUCUCGACUUUACGCAAUGGAUACAGGUUUCUCAGAUGUUGGACUCGCCGGCCUUUCCUAACGAUUACCCUACCGUCACGUACAUUUACGAGUACGUGGACACGUUUUAAACUUAGACCUAUACCCCCUUGUUAGUGGACUUGUGUGUCAAAGAUUCAGAACCUCGGGAAGACAUCCGAGAAGACGACUUGAUAACUCAAGUAGUGUAAGUCUCGUUGGUUUUUGAUUACCACAUCUUUCUAGAGUCGGACCACGAGAAACCCUACAGAAGGCGUCCGUCCUACACGGCUACGACUUAUUUAUAAAUCGAAGAUUGACCCUCCUUGAAUGUUUAUUGUCAGUCCGCUACGAGAGACACUUCGUAGGAUAAAUACUAGUUCGACAUAUAGAGUCCCUCGUAGUAUUUUCCCAUAAUUUCCUAGUUAUACCUUAACUUGGAGCCUGUAAACUUGUUGUAUAACCGCUCCGACAAAAAUAAGGUCGACCGACAGGGAUGGUUCAUUUUUUAGAGGUCAGAUGCCAAGUCAACCGAGACCUAAAAAACAGCGGACUCUCAAACGCCCUCAGCCGAGCAUACCCGGUUCUCUAUGCGACGGACGGUUUAGUAGUAUUACGUUUUGACUUCUACGAACUCCAACCUUUCUAUCGAGAUAUACGUCGUUCAAGGCGACAGUUUCUUUAAGUCUUUUAUUGGGAACUAGGGUUCAAAUUAGCCCUAUAGUCUAAACUCCUAGUCUUGGAUUGGGCCCGCCAAAGUCUCUUGAACCGAUCUCAGUGAUUUGUUGCUUUCCACAGAACACCAACUGUAAGAUGUCCGGGAGUCCUCUACGCCCUACAUUUUAACUUUAACUUUGGGUACACUUCAUCUAUAUCGUUUAACAUGUACAUCAUAUGGUACAGGGCUUUCCUUGUGUAAGUGUUGAGAACAGUCUAUCAUAACUGGAGUGGACAUAUAACACCCAAUCCUGAUUGCCGACACGAGUACAGUUGUUUUUAUUACACAGCUCGUUAAUUACUUGUAAUGUUACUCUCAUACUAACUAUUGACGAGAAGGCGGUAAAACUUCUCUUAAAGUCUGUUAAAACCCAGCUCAUUAUAACUCAAACCGGAACAACACAA